AUACGUAGGGGGCGAGCGUUGUCCGGAAUGAUUGGGCGUAAAGUGCGCGUAGGCGGCCUGUUAAGUCUGGAGUGAAAGUCCUGUUUUCAAGAUGGGAAUUGCUUUGGAUACUGAUGGGCUUGAGUGCAGGAGAGGUUAUCGGAAUUCCCGGUGUAGCGGUGAAAUGCGUAGAGAUCGGGAGGAACACCAGUGGCGAAGGCGGGUAACUGGACUGCAACUGACGCUGAGGCGCGAAAGUGUGGGGAGCAAACAGGAUUAGAUACCCUGGUAGUCCACACUGUAAACGAUGAAUGCUAGGUGUAAGAGGUAUCGACCCCUUUUGUGCCGGAGUUAACACAAUAAGCAUUCCGCCUGGGGAGUACGGUCGCAAGGUUGAAACUUAAAGGAAUUGACGGGG
rnacentral:rRNA from 1 species